AUGACAUGUCCUUGUUGGGGUCUCAACAUUUUAAUUUGUUUUAUUGACAGGACAAAGAACAAAAUGAAAGGAGAUUCUGCACAAGAUAAUAAAAGCAGCAGUGACAACAAGCCUACCGAGGAUGUAAUGUAUGCAUCUAUUAACCACAGCAGUGCCAAAGGAUCACGAACCAGACCUACUUCUAACGAUGACUGUGAUUAUGCCACAGUUGUUAUCCCAGCAGCACCUGAAUCUGAGUGUUCAUCAAAAGAGGAAUGUGGAGAUGAUUAUGUCCUUAUGGGAUAAAUGCAUACAAGACCAUUAUAACCUUCAGGACCGUUAGAUGAUAUCAUAUACAAGCAAAUGUGUCUAAUGUUCUAUAAUGGUGUGCAAGAUCUUGUUUGCAGAUGAACUGUUAAAUUUCCAGUUGAACUGUUAAAUUUUAAACUUCACUGAAGAGUGUGACAAAAUGAAAACAUUUUGCAGCUCACAGUAGCUGGUUGUGGAAACAUCAAGACUACAAUUUCUCUCCACUUCUAAAGGAACUUCAAGCUUGCACACAAAUGUGGUGUUCCUUUCUCAAGACUGCAAACUUGCGUCAUGUUCACCAUCUUCAGAGAAGAAACUUAACCUUGGGAGAAUAUGAAGCUUCAUAGUCUGAUGUGCCCGAAUACCCAAAAUAUUAGCCAAACACCGGGAAGUAAGAAGAACGAAAACUGGACCUGAUGUCUGGACUUGAAGACUUGAAGAUGCUGUUGCACCAGUUUUGCACAUAUCCAAAAAAGCAUCAUUUCCAAAACAGCAAAUCCACAGUUUUGACAUGCUACUGCUAUAGUUGUUUAUGACCUCAAUGAGUGAAUUCUAAUUCACUAUGGCUUAAAUGCAUUUUGCUUUUAAAACAUGUAAUCAUCAAAAUUGAUGUAGUCACCGUGUGUGUGCUUGUCAGAACUGCUGCACACCACCACAAUGUUAAAAAAAUGAAGUUUCAAUAAUUUACAACAUUAUACUUAUAAUUAUUAUAUGUGUCGUUCUAUUAAGCUUCUUCUUCUACAACAAGAGGAAAUGAACAUAAGCUUUUAACUCUGUUAACGGAAAGUGGACACAGAGAAAGCAGCACAGAGACUUUGUAUUCAGUUUUUCUGUACAUUAUUUUUACGCUAGUAAAGACGAAGGUUUGAUCUUUAUAUUAAGUCAGAGUGUGUUGAAAUUGAGCCAAGGCUUCACUCUACCAGUCAGGUGUCAAAACUUAACUUCCUGUUUAGCUGCACCAACCAGCCAUUAGGCCCACUACAUUUCCAUACCCAAAUUUAAAAUGUAGCUCAACUGUUCACAUAAUAAAAUUAGUGCAAUUUGUGCGACUGCCAUAUUAUCGAAA
ensembl:lncRNA